UACGAAGGGGGCGAGCGUUGUUCGGAAUUACUGGGCGUAAAGGGCGCGUAGGCGGUCUUGCAAGUCCUGUGUGAAAUCCCUCGGCUCAACUGAGGAACUGCACAGGAAACUGCUUGGCUUGAGUUCGGGAGAGGGAAGCGGAAUUCCGGGUGUAGCGGUGAAAUGCGUAGAUAUCCGGAGGAACACCGGUGGCGAAGGCGGCUUCCUGGACCGACACUGACGCUGAGGCGCGAAAGCUAGGGGAGCAAACGGG
rnacentral:rRNA from 1 species